GAAAAGAUGGAGUAAGGUUAGGAGAGCCAUACUUUGGAUGAGAUGCUGCAGAUGGAAAUGAUGUAAUUCUCUUAUACUUAAGUAUGGUUGGUAGCAAAAUGGCUUGGGAACCACAUGGGGCAGUUCAUUUCCAUUAUUGGGCAUGGAUACAGUUCUUAGGCCCAUUGGCUCAGCUCUCAAGUGCAUUGGCAGUUGGGGCUUGGCUGGGACAAGAUAAGCUCAGGAACUGGAGUGGGAUAAAAGUGGCAGGCAGAGGGCAUAGGGAGAUGCAGACUUGAGAGACAAAAGACAACAGAAAAGGGAGGUGCAGUGACAAGCUCAAUGCCGGAAGACACAGCCUGAUAACCAGUCUGUUGUCAGGACUACAUUUACUCUUACACCAUGGCUGAGAAAUGAGGUGCUCACAGCACCAGAUGCAGGAGAAUCUCAGAGCAGAAGGCCAGCCCUCAGCACCUCUGGCUCCUGGUCCACAGCCUUGCUGCUGUAACAGGUGUGAAGCAACGGCACUCCAGCCCCUUCGGAUGCAGCUUCUCUCCUCGCCAGGAGCGAACUGACUUUAAAAUGUAGAAGAAUUAGCAAUGGCACAGAAAAAGAUCAAGGUCUUCUGAAGACUGGAAACGCUGAAGCGCUUGGAAAGAAUGUGCUGAGAGUAAUCAGUGCCAGGAAGCUACCAGACACAGGAGCGAGGCUUCCAAACUCCCUGACGAGGCUGCUUUAGGGAAGGGGGAAUGAAGUGGCUGCGGGAAAGCAUUACCCAACUUUCAGAGGACACAAAACUUUCAGUGGAGAAGUGUGACUUUCUGUACAUACCUGCUGUUGAUCUCAGGUUUUUAUGAUAAUUUGUAUCUGG